rnacentral:rRNA from 1 species
CCUACGGGAGGCAGCAGUGAGGAAUAUUGGUCAAUGGACGAGAGUCUGAACCAGCCAAGUAGCGUGAAGGAUGACUGCCCUAUGGGUUGUAAACUUCUUUUAUAUGGGAAUAAAAUGUUCCACGUGUGGGCUUUUGUAUGUACCAUAUGAAUAAGGAUCGGCUAACUCCGUGCCAGCAGCCGCGGUAAUACGGAGGAUCCGAGCGUUAUCCGGAUUUAUUGGGUUUAAAGGGAGCGUAGGUGGAUUGUUAAGUCCGUUGUGAAAGUUUGCGGCUCAACCGUAAAAUUGCAGUUGAAACUGGCAGUCUUGAGUACAGUAGAGGUGGGCGGAAGUCGUGGUGUAGCGGUGAAAUGCUUAGAUAUCACGAAGAACUCCGAUUGCGAAGGCAGCUCACUGGACUGCAACUGACACUGAGGCUCGAAAGUGUGGGUAUCAAACAGGAUUAGAUACCCUUGUAGUC